GCGGCUGUGGCGAAAUUGGUAGACGCACCAGAUUUAGGUUCUGGCGCCGGAAGGUGUGAAGGUUCGAGUCCUUUCAGCCGCACCA
rnacentral:tRNA from 1 species